AGGAAGUAAAAGUCGUAACAAGGUUUCCGUAGGUGAACCUGCGGAAGGAUCAUUACAAAUCAGUGUUGGUGGAUGGUUGGGGGUGGGAUAUAUUUGAAAGAAUGUGUUUCAUCAUCUGAUCCACAUCAAUUCAUACAUUAGCACGAGUGUGAUGUUGGAUUGCAAUGCAAUCUUUCAUCACAUCUCAUGUUUACGCUUGUUUGUUUGACAGAGUUCAAUUGACUUUAAUAAAUACAACUUUUAACAACGGAUCUCUAGGCUCUUGCAACGAUGAAGAACGCAGUAAAGUGCGAAAAGUAAUGCGAUUUGCAUGAACUGUGAGUCAUUUAAUAUUUGAACGCAACUUGCGCCCCUCGGGGCAUGUUUGUUUGAGUGCCUAAAAAAAAGAAAUGCUAGGAAUAGUGUUUGAUGUGACUGCUGUCUAGAGUGAGCAUUGAUUGAUAGGUGUAACAAUCUACAACCUACAAGGUCAUUCAAGACACGGUUUAAAAAGAGUUAGAAAAUGAAUGUAUUUCUGUUUAUCAAGUGCUAAGCAUUCUCGAUGGACAGGGAUGCAGUCAAUUGGAAGAUGGAAUGGACUAACGUGGACUAAUAAUCCGUCGACUCCUACUCGUCAACCAAAUCUCACUAUACAUGGCCU
rnacentral:rRNA from 1 species